rnacentral:rRNA from 1 species
UACGUAGGGGGCAAGCGUUGUCCGGAUUUAUUGGGCGUAAAGCGCGUGUAGGCGGCCAGGUAGGUCGGUUGUGAAAACUGGAGGCUCAACCUCCAGACGUCGACCGAAACCAUCUGGCUAGAGUCCGGAAGAGGAGAGUGGAAUUCCUGGUGUAGCGGUGAAAUGCGCAGAUAUCGGAAGGAACACCAGUGGCGAAAGCGGCUUCCUGGUCCAGCAUCGACGUUCAGGCACGAAAGCGUGGGGAGCAAACAGG